GUAUUUUUAAUGCAUAUAAUUUAAUUUUCUCUUACAUAUUUAUCUCAAGGUCUGGGGAAAACAGCUACAGGCUCAUCGACAGCAUCAGGUACAACAAAUCCUACAGGUCCCACAAUGAAUUAUAGGGAGUUAGAGGAAUCAAUCAACAAGUGGACAGUAGAGCUUGAAGAACAAGAAAAAAUAUUCCUGCAACAAGCCACACAGGUGAAUGGUUGGGACAGGUUACUGGUUGAAAAUGGUGAAAAGAUUACAAGUUUACACAAUGAUGUCGAGAAAGUCAAGACAGAUCAGCAAAGGUAAUUUUAAUUUUAAAAAUUCUGCUGAAAUGAAGUGCUAGUUUGUAAAUUGUGUUGGAGCUAUAUGCAAAAUGAACAUUGUGGAAGUAGAAUU